CCUUCCCAAAUUCUAGAACUGGCUCUAAGUAGAUGUGCAGCAUUACAACCCUAUCAGGUAUGACUUUGAUGGACAGUGUAGAAUGAAAUUCUUUCCAGGGAAAGGAAAGUAGGCAGAGCUUUCCACUGGAUUGUUCAUGUUGCCUGGAAGAAGAGUCUAAAGUAAAAGUCAACAUUAUUUCCUUAACUUUUUGUUUGGUCUGGAUUAUGGAAAUUGGGGGAGAAAGAAGGUUGGGGAACAGCUAUAUGGAUGAGACUCAAGGAUGAGGUUAUUUGUGUUCCAUGUGAAAGUUCACUGUUUAUGGACUGAAUGUUUAUGUCCACCCUUCCCCUCCAGCCCAGUUCAUUGUUGAAACCCUCGUGUGAUGGUAUUUGGCGGCGAGGACUUUGGAAAAUAAUUAUGUCAUGAAGAUGGAGCCCUCAUGAUGGAAUUAGUGUCCUUCGAAGAAGGAGAGUACUGUCUGCUCUUCGCUAUGUAAGAACACAGCAAGAAGACAGCCAUCUGUAAGUCAGGAAGAGUUACCUCACUAGACAUACAAUCUGCUGACACCUCGAUCUUGGACUUCGUAUCCUCCAGAACCAUGAGAAAUUGCUGUUGUUUACACCCCCUACUCUGUGGUAAUUUGUGGUGGCAGCCCAAACUAUAGAUGACACUCACAAGGGCCCUUUGUAAAGAGACAGCUCUUAAUAAUCAGGCUCUGAUAAUUACAGGAGCUAGGACUACAAUGAGCAGCAAUGAGAUAUGGGGCUGCAGGAAGAAAAGCAACAGAUGGAUUUGAUGUAGGAAUAACUAAACUUGGCUUAAUGGACUGGGAUCCUGAAACUUGCCAGUAAGACUUCAGUUGCAGAAGGCUACAUAUUGCAUAAACUUUAUGGUUGACAUUUGCUACCACAAACUUCAGGGAUUUACAGAGGCAAACCCUGCA
rnacentral:lncRNA from 12 species